AUGCACAGAGUCUGUUUUUAUAAUAAAAGUGUCAGAGUUUGUUUUAAAUGUUAUAUUCUCUGUAUUCACAGACUUUCUGACUGUAAACUCUCAUCAACUCACUGUGAAGUUCUGGCCUCAGCUCUGAAGUCCAACCCCCAUCUGAGAGAGCUGGACCUGAGUAACAACGAGCUGAAGGAUUCAGGAGUGAAGCUGCUGUCUGCUGGACUGAAGAGUCCAAACUGUAGACUGGAGACUCUGAGGGAGGAAGGAUUAUGAAAUUACUAAACCAAUACUGGCCCACAGACUAAUGAGAGACAACUAUGCAUUUUGAGUGAACUAUUCCUUAUUCCUGGAAGGACAACUAUUCUCUCACUUUACAAGUCAGUAGUUUCUUUUGUAAACUGUCUUUGAACAGCUGAUUGCAACAGAUAGCGUGGGCCAGAGUGUGCCACUAUUAUAAAAUGAACAUGACUUGAUCAGGAGCAGUUUGUAGGUAUUACUGGUCACAGUCAGCCUGCAUGAAUGUAAAAUAUAGAUGAGGCAAACAUUUAUUUAAAUAAAAUACUUCAGAUCUGAAUUUGACAAUGCAUCCUUGUUCAUAUUUCACCUUAGAUUAAAAAACACGCAAAUCAUUCUCUUCAACAUCAAAACCAAUCAGGUAAACUCAAAAGUGAAAUAAACACUAUUUUAGCAU
rnacentral:lncRNA from 15 species